GACAGAGGGUGCAAACGUUGUUCGGAAUUACUGGGCGUAAAGCGCGUGUAGGCUGUUCGGAAAGCCGGAUGUGAAAGCCCCGGGCUCAACCCGGGAAGUGCAUUCGAAACUUCCGAGCUGGAGUCCUGGAGAGGAAGGCGGAAUUCUCGGUGUAGAGGUGAAAUUCGUAGAUAUCGAGAGGAACACCGGUGGCGAGGGCGGCCUUCUGGACAGUGACUGACGCUGAGACGCGAAAGCGUGGGGAGCAAACAGG
rnacentral:rRNA from 1 species